AUUAAAGAAAAAGAAGAGUUUUCAAAUAAUAAAUUGUUUCUAACCGUUUCCCACUACUGCCACGUGUCACCCAUGAGAUGCCAUAUUUUCCCGCUUUCUCAUCCUUGAUAUAACUGAGCUUCACUCCACAACAUUCUUGCUUUUUGCCAUCUCUCUUUGUAUCAGUUUCUCUCUCUAAAACUGUUUCAUAUUCUCCUUCUUCGCUCAAGCUUAUGAUCUUCAGAGAUUGAACUUCAACAAGAUACACGUUUUUCGUAUGAGCUUUGGAGAAUGAACUUCAACAAGAAACACGAUCUUUGGAGAAUGAAUUUCAAGAAGGUAUCUCCGUUCACUCACUUCUUUAUCCCUCACCGGAAUAUUCUUUUUAUGUUUCUUGUCUAACCAGAAAGAUGUUUUUUCGUAUGAUCCUCGGAGAUUGAACUUCAAGAAGGUAUCUCUGUCACCGUCUCCGUUUUUUCGUUUCUUUUUCUAUACACAUAUAUAUUUUAAAAUUUCAAAAAGCUGAUUAAAAUUAAAAGCUGAAAAAUAUAUUGAGAAAUAGUGAAGGAAUUAUGUUGAUCAUUUUGACAUGAUGACGUCGUUUGAUCCAUGUAGCUGACUCUACUCAUUGAAAUUAAGCCUUGGUUAUUGUAGACGAUGUGCAGCAGAAAUUUUGUGGCUUCUAACUAUAUCAUGAUGCGUUACUAUUAAUAUCUUCAAUGUUUUAUGGUACUGGCUGGAUUCUAUUUAUCUGAUCAUAACUGAGGAAGCCUAAUUUGUUUUAUGGUACUGGCAGGUUGAAGAUAGGAUUUAUGUUGAAGAUAUUACAGCUGAAUGUAAUAUUACAGAAAGACAGAUCAAGUUCUUGAAGAUGUGUCAUCUCCAUUUCAUGUCAUUGCUUGUGUCAAUUGUAUGCCAUACAUGCAGAACUAUUCUUAGUGAAAAGGUCUUUCAAACUUGACUUCCUUGAGUAUCAGGAAGAGCAGCACCGUCACACCUGAUGGAAUGUUCACUGUUCAGAGAAGUUGGACCUUGAUGGGUGUUCACUGUUCAGAGAUUCACAGUGGAUUUGUUCAUCUUCAAGCAUCGUGUGUGUUCAAGCUUUAAUAGUGGUAUCUGCAACUUGGUGAAGGAAGGUAAAGGAAGAACACAAUCACAUCUAAUCCCUAUGGUAGGAAAUAGUAGCUUCAACAUGACUCUGCCAACACUUGAAGGCAAGAAUUACGAAAGAUAACAUAUUCAAAUGAAUGUGCUCUUUGGGUGUUUUGCAAAAUGGCAUUGUUCAUGAUUCAUCAAUGCGUGAAUGAGUCGAAUUUUGAGAAGAUUGCAAGGCAUUGACUACAAAAGAAGCAUGGGACAUCCUUGAGAAAUGCUAUAUAGGGGAUGAGAAAGUGAAAUUGCAGACCUUGAGAAGAUAGUAUGAGUUGUUGAAAUGAGGGAGAGUGAUACAAUUGGUGAUUACUACACAAAGCUCAUAUCAUUGACAAAUUAUAUGAAGGGAUGUGGUGAGGCGACGGAAGAUCAAUUGGUGGUAGAAAAGGUGUUAAGAACACUCACCUCCAAGUUUGCUCAUGUGGUAGAUGCCAUAGAAGAAUGAAAAGAUCUUGAUAUACUCAAGAUUGAGGAUCUUUAAAGUUCCUUGGAAGUACAUGAACAUAGAAUCAAAGUAAAGAUUCAAGGUAGAGGAUCUGAACAAGCUCUUCAAGUUGAGUCUUGCAUAUCAAGGAAUUUUGGCUAAAGAAAUAUUCAAAGAAAGGCAUGCAUUUGAUUGAAGUGGAUGAUGAAGAGGAUAGUGAAGCAAUAUUGUGGUAAUGCUUGGCGUCUACUAUGGUGGCGUUGGGCGUUUGUUGUGGCGGUGUUGGGCGUCUGUGGCAACAUUUGGUGUAUGUCGUGGUGUUGGGCGUCUACGGCGGUGCUGGGAGUCUGUGGUGGUGUUGUGAGUGUGAGGCGACACUAGGUGUGUGAGGUGACGCUGGGCGUGUGAGGUGACGCUGGGCGUGUGAUGCAGCAUUGGGCGUCUACCAUGGUGUUGCUGAGCGUCUCUAGCAGCGUUGGGUGUUAGGCGGCACUGAGCGUGUAAACGGCUUUAAGAGUGUGAGGCGGUAGUGGGCGUUUGUCGUGGCGAUGAUGGACGUCUGCCAUGGCGGGAUUGGUGUUUGUGGCAGCUGUGGGCGUCUAGUGCAACUUUGGUCGUCUGUGGCAGAGCUGGGUGUUUGUGGUGGCGUUAGGCGUGUGAGGCGGCAUAAAGCGUGCGAGGUGACAAUGGGAGUGUGGCGGCGUUGGGUGUAAGGCUGCAUUGGGCGUGUAAGGCUGUGAUGGGUGUGAGGUGGCGAUGGGUGUGAGGCGAUGCUGGGCGUGUAAGGCGAUGAUGGGCGUGUAAGGUGACGCUGGGGUUCUAUGGUGGUGACAGUGGGUGUGUGAAGCGUUAGGCAUGUGAAGCGGCGAUGGGUGUAUGAGGCGACGCUGGGCGUCUAUGGUGGUGCUGAGCGUUUGUGGCGGUUUUGGGCGUCUGCCGUGGCAGUGAUGGGCAUCUGUCGUGGCAGUGAUGAGCGUCUAUUGAAGUGGCGAUGAGCGUCUGUCGUGACGACGUUGGGCGCCUAGGGGCGUUUGGGGCGUCGUUGGACGUGUGCGGCAGAGCUGGGCAUGUGAGGUAGCAAAGGGCAUUUGUGUCAGCGCCAAGCGUUUGAGGCCGUGGUGGGCGUGUGAGGCGACGUUGAGGGUCUGGGGCGACGCCGGGCGUCUGUGGCACUGCUAGGCGUUUGUGCUGGUGAAGUGCGGCUGUCGUGUCGACGAUGGGUGCUGUCGUCUGGGAGUCUGUGGCGGUGGUGGGCAUUUGUGGCGGAGGUGGGCGUGUAGUAAUGGUGGGCGUUUGUGGCAGGUGUGGACGUUUGUGGCAGCGGUGGGCGUGUGACGACGGUGGGCAUUUGGUACGACCUUGGUCGUGUCGCGGUUGGGCGUGUGAGGCGACAUAGGGCAUGUGAGGCGGCGGUGGGCGUGCGAGGCGGUAGUGGGUGUGGGAGGCGGCGAUGGGCGUGCG
rnacentral:lncRNA from 1 species